ACCUUCAUUUCUAACCCUGUGAACUUAUUCAGAAUAGUAAUUUGACUUCUGUCGGUUAUUAUUCUUUUUAUUAAAACGCUUGUAAUAGAAUGUAAAUAAAACUAUAACAAAGAAAAACUUUCAACAACGGAUCUCUUGGCUCUCGCAUCGAUGAAGAACGCAGCGAAAUGUGAUAAGUAAUGUGAAUUGCAGAAUUCAGUGAAUCAUCGAAUCUUUGAACGCAUCUUGCGCUCCUUGGUAUUCCGAGGAGCAUGCCUGUUUGAGUGUCAUGAAUUCUUCAACCCACACUUUUUCUUAGUAAAUUGAGUGGUGCUUGGAUUUUGAUUGUUUGCUAGGUCUCACGACUUUGGCUCAAUCGUAAUAUAUUAGCAAUUCUAACCUAUAAUUGGAUUGACUCGGUGUAAUAGACUAUUCGCUGAGGAGUACUUGCUCGCAAGUGGCCAAAUAUAAAAUUGACUUUGCUUCUAAUCAGACUUUCUUAGUCAACCUUUUUAAGAUUAGACCUCAAAUCAAGUAGGACUACCCGCUGAACUUAAGCAUAUCAAUAAGCGGAGGA
rnacentral:rRNA from 1 species